GACGGGGGGGGGCAAGCGUUGUUCGGAAUUACUGGGCGUAAAGGGCGCGUAGGCGGUUCGCUAAGUUGAAUGUGAAAACUCUGGGCUUAACCCAGAGCCUGCAUUCAAUACUGGCGGGCUAGAGUUCUGGAGGGGAUAGCGGAAUUCCUGGUGUAGCGGUGAAAUGCGCAGAUAUCAGGAGGAACGCCGGUGGCGAAGGCGGGUCUCUGGGCAACUACUGACGCUGAGGAGCGAAAGCGUGGGGAGCGAACAGG
rnacentral:rRNA from 1 species